rnacentral:rRNA from 1 species
GAGGAAGUAAAAGACGUAACAAGGUCUCCGUUGGUGAACCAGCGGAGGGAUCAUUACCGAGUUUACAACUCCCAAACCCCUGUGAACAUACCACUUGUUGCCUCGGCGGAUCAGCCCGCUCCCGGUAAAACGGGACGGCCCGCCAGAGGACCCCUAAAACUCUGUUUCUAUAUGUAACUUCUGAGUAAAACCAUAAAUAAAUCAAAACUUUCAACAACGGAUCUCUUGGUUCUGGCAUCGAUGAAGAACGCAGCAAAAUGCGAUAAGUAAUGUGAAUUGCAGAAUUCAGUGAAUCAUUGAAUCUUUGAACGCACAUUGCGCCCGCCAGUAUUCUGGCGGGCAUGCCUGUUCGAGCGUCAUUUCAACUCUCAAGCACAGCUUGGUGUUGGGACUCGCGUUAAUUCGCGUUCCUCAAAUUGAUUGGCGGUCACGUCGAGCUUCCAUAGCGUAGUAGUAAAACCCUCGUUACUGGUAAUCGUCGCGGCCACGCCGUUAAACCCCAACUUNUGAAUGUUGACCCCGGAUCAGGUAGGAAUACCC